AACCAUAGAAACCUGCGGAGUACCUGCGGAGGGAUCAUUAUAGUAUAUGGAAUCUCCAUUCUAUAAACCCACUCUGCGUAUCUUGUAACUGUUGCUUCCAUGGGACUUGGUUCCGCCACACCGGCUUCACGGCUGGUGAGCGCCCAUGGAAGGAGAAACAAAACUCUUCUCUGAAAUGUAGUCAGUCUGAACAAGUUUUUAUAAACGUUAAAACUUUCAGCAAUGGAUCUCAGAUCGGAA
rnacentral:misc_RNA from 1 species